rnacentral:tRNA from 1 species
GGAUUGUGGCUCAGAGGUAGAGCGCUCGCCUAGCACGGGCGGGACCCGGGUUGGAUCCUCAGCACCA